UCCUACGGGAGGCAGCAGUGGGGAAUAUUGCGCAAUGGGCGAAAGCCUGACGCAGCCACGCCGCGUGUGUGAUGAAGGCCCUAGGGUCGUAAAGCACUGUUUGGAGGGAAGAAGUUCUGACGGUACCUCCCAAGAAAGCACCGGCUAACUCCGUGCCAGCAGCCGCGGUAAUACGGAGGGUGCAAGCGUUGCUCGGAAUCACUGGGCGUAAAGGGUACGCAGGCGGCUUGUUAAGUCGGGUGUGAAAGCCCAGGGCUCAACCCUGGAAUUGCGCCCGAUACUGGCAGGCUUGAGUACGGGAGAGGGAAGCGGAAUUCCUGGUGUAGAGGUGAAAUUCGUAGAUAUCAGGAGGAACACCAGUGGCGAAAGCGGCUUCCUGGCCCGAUACUGACGCUCAUGUACGAAAGCGUGGGGAGCAAACAGGAUUAGAUACCCUGGUAGUCCACGCUGUAAACGAUGAGUGCUAGCUGCUGGAAAUGUCUACCGUUUCAGUGGCAAAGUCAACGCAUUAAGCACUCCGCCUGGGAAGUACGGCCGCAAGGCUAAAACUCAAAUGAAUUGACGGA
rnacentral:rRNA from 1 species